UACGUAGGGGGCUAGCGUUGUCCGGAUUUAUUGGGCGUAAAGAGCGUGUAGGCGACCAGGUAGGUCCGGUGUGAAAACUCGAGGCUUAACCUCGAGAUGUCAUCGGAAACCAUCUGGCUAGAGUCCGGAAGAGGAGAGUGGAAUUCCUGGUGUAGCGGUGAAAUGCGCAGAUAUCAGGAAGAACACCAAUGGCGAAGGCAGCUCUCUGGGACGGUACUGACGCUGAGACGCGAAAGCGUGGGGAGCGAACAGG
rnacentral:rRNA from 1 species